AGCCCCUUAGUGUAGUGGUCAAGCACAGAGCCCUUUGAAGGCUCAGACCCCGGUUCGAAUCCGGGAGGGGCUA
rnacentral:tRNA from 1 species